CUCAUCCUGUACGUCGGCAACCACAACCUUAGCGCCAUGACGAACGAAUAACCUUGCAGUGCUCUCGCCGAUUCCUGCUGCACCGCCGAGCUUCAAUAUACCUCUUGGUUAUGGGAGCUAGCAAGGAAGCAGCCUUCAUUCUAUCUUGACCUGUCGUUUGCAAUGGCCGGAAAAAAAUAUGAUGGGACCUGGGAAGCAUCGAUCGUUUCACGUGGUGUGCCGACUGAGUUGUUGGAUUUCUGAUUUAUUAUUUAGUAAUCAUUUUCAGCUUGGAAUUUCGAUAAGUCUAAGAGAUGAUGAAGAUGAAUUAUUGCUAGAUGGCCGGGGAUUGGAUCGGUUGAACGUUUAAAUCGUCACUUCUGAAAUUUACAGUUUGGUAAAAAUGCUUGAUGGUUGAACCAUUGACCCAUCAUGGGGUCAUCGCCUCAUCGCCUUAUGGGUGGCACAUUAAAUGUAUGUACAAAGUUGUGGAGGUCAUAAUUUUGAAUAGGGAUAUUUAAGUAG